rnacentral:rRNA from 1 species
GAUCCUGGCUCAGGAUGAACGCUGGCGGCGUGCUUAACACAUGCAAGUCGAACGAAGCACUUUAUUUGAUUUCCUUCGGGACUGAUUAUUUUGUGACUGAGUGGCGGACGGGUGAGUAACGCGUGGGUAACCUGCCUUGUACAGGGGGAUAACAGUUGGAAACGGCUGCUAAUACCGCAUAGCGCACAGCACUCGCAUGAUGCAGGUGUAAACGAAAAACCGUCCGGGUUGGUAAUAAGAGUCCGGGACCCCGG